ACUAAGCGUACACGGUGGAUGCCCUGGCAGUCAGAGGCGAUGAAGGACGUGCUAAUCUGCGAUAAGCGUCGGUAAGGUGAUAUGAACCGUUAUAACCGGCGAUUUCCGAAUGGGGAAACCCAGUGUGAUUCGUCACACUAUCAUUAACUGAAUCCAUAGGUUAAUGAGGCGAACCGGGGGAACUGAAACAUCUAAGUACCCUGAGGAAAAGAAAUCAACCGAGAUUCCCCCAGUAGCGGCGAGCGAACGGGGAGCAGCCCAGAGCCUGAAUCAGUGUGUGUGUUAGUGGAAGCGUCUGGAAAGGCGUGCGAUACAGGGUGACAGCCCCGUACACAAAAAUGCACAUACUGUGAGCUCGAUGAGUAGGGCGGGACACGUGGUAUCCUGUCUGAAUAUGGGGGGACCAUCCUCCAAGGCUAAAUACUCCUGACUGACCGAUAGUGAACCAGUACCGUGAGGGAAAGGCGAAAAGAACCCCGGCGAGGGGAGUGAAAAAGAACCUGAAACCGUGUACGUACAAGCAGUGGGAGCACGCUUAGGCGUGUGACUGCGUACCUUUUGUAUAAUGGGUCAGCGACUUAUAUUCUGUAGCAAGGUUAACCGAAUAGGGGAGCCGAAGGGAAACCGAGUCUUAACUGGGCGUUAAGUUGCAGGGUAUAGACCCGAAACCCGGUGAUCUAGCCAUGGGCAGGUUGAAGGUUGGGUAACACUAACUGGAGGACCGAACCGACUAAUGUUGAAAAAUUAGCGGAUGACUUGUGGCUGGGGGUGAAAGGCCAAUCAAACCGGGAGAUAGCUGGUUCUCCCCGAAAGCUAUUUAGGUAGCGCCUCGUGAAUUCAUCUCCGGGGGUAGAGCACUGUUUCGGCAAGGGGGUCAUCCCGACUUACCAACCCGAUGCAAACUGCGAAUACCGGAGAAUGUUAUCACGGGAGACACACGGCGGGUGCUAACGUCCGUCGUGAAGAGGGAAACAACCCAGACCGCCAGCUAAGGUCCCAAAGUCAUGGUUAAGUGGGAAACGAUGUGGGAAGGCCCAGACAGCCAGGAUGUUGGCUUAGAAGCAGCCAUCAUUUAAAGAAAGCGUAAUAGCUCACUGGUCGAGUCGGCCUGCGCGGAAGAUGUAACGGGGCUAAACCAUGCACCGAAGCUGCGGCAGCGACGCUUAUGCGUUGUUGGGUAGGGGAGCGUUCUGUAAGCCUGUGAAGGUGUGCUGUGAGGUAUGCUGGAGGUAUCAGAAGUGCGAAUGCUGACAUAAGUAACGAUAAAGCGGGUGAAAAGCCCGCUCGCCGGAAGACCAAGGGUUCCUGUCCAACGUUAAUCGGGGCAGGGUGAGUCGACCCCUAAGGCGAGGCCGAAAGGCGUAGUCGAUGGGAAACAGGUUAAUAUUCCUGUACUUGGUGUUACUGCGAAGGGGGGACGGAGAAGGCUAUGUUGGCCGGGCGACGGUUGUCCCGGUUUAAGCGUGUAGGCUGGUUUUCCAGGCAAAUCCGGAAAAUCAAGGCCGAGGCGUGAUGACGAGGCACUACGGUGCUGAAGCAACAAAUGCCCUGCUUCCAGGAAAAGCCUCUAAGCAUCAGGUAACAUCAAAUCGUACCCCAAACCGACACAGGUGGUCAGGUAGAGAAUACCAAGGCGCUUGAGAGAACUCGGGUGAAGGAACUAGGCAAAAUGGUGCCGUAACUUCGGGAGAAGGCACGCUGAUACGUAGGUGAAGCGACUUGCUCGUGGAGCUGAAAUCAGUCGAAGAUACCAGCUGGCUGCAACUGUUUAUUAAAAACACAGCACUGUGCAAACACGAAAGUGGACGUAUACGGUGUGACGCCUGCCCGGUGCCGGAAGGUUAAUUGAUGGGGUUAGCGCAAGCGAAGCUCUUGAUCGAAGCCCCGGUAAACGGCGGCCGUAACUAUAACGGUCCUAAGGUAGCGAAAUUCCUUGUCGGGUAAGUUCCGACCUGCACGAAUGGCGUAAUGAUGGCCAGGCUGUCUCCACCCGAGACUCAGUGAAAUUGAACUCGCUGUGAAGAUGCAGUGUACCCGCGGCAAGACGGAAAGACCCCGUGAACCUUUACUAUAGCUUGACACUGAACAUUGAGCCUUGAUGUGUAGGAUAGGUGGGAGGCUUUGAAGUGUGGACGCCAGUCUGCAUGGAGCCGACCUUGAAAUACCACCCUUUAAUGUUUGAUGUUCUAACGUGGACCCGUGAUCCGGGUUGCGGACAGUGUCUGGUGGGUAGUUUGACUGGGGCGGUCUCCUCCUAAAGAGUAACGGAGGAGCACGAAGGUUGGCUAAUCCUGGUCGGACAUCAGGAGGUUAGUGCAAUGGCAUAAGCCAGCUUGACUGCGAGCGUGACGGCGCGAGCAGGUGCGAAAGCAGGUCAUAGUGAUCCGGUGGUUCUGAAUGGAAGGGCCAUCGCUCAACGGAUAAAAGGUACUCCGGGGAUAACAGGCUGAUACCGCCCAAGAGUUCAUAUCGACGGCGGUGUUUGGCACCUCGAUGUCGGCUCAUCACAUCCUGGGGCUGAAGUAGGUCCCAAGGGUAUGGCUGUUCGCCAUUUAAAGUGGUACGCGAGCUGGGUUUAGAACGUCGUGAGACAGUUCGGUCCCUAUCUGCCGUGGGCGCUGGAGAACUGAGGGGGGCUGCUCCUAGUACGAGAGGACCGGAGUGGACGCAUCACUGGUGUUCGGGUUGUCAUGCCAAUGGCACUGCCCGGUAGCUAAAUGCGGAAGAGAUAAGUGCUGAAAGCAUCUAAGCACGAAACUUGCCCCGAGAUGAGUUCUCCCUGACCCUUUAAGGGUCCUGAAGGAACGUUGAAGACGACGACGUUGAUAGGCCGGGUGUGUAAGCGCAGCGAUGCGUUGAGCUAACCGGUACUAAUGAACCGUGAGGCUUAACC
rnacentral:rRNA from 1 species